rnacentral:rRNA from 1 species
AUACGGAGAAUCCGAGCGUUAUCCGGAUUUAUUGGGUUUAAAGGGUGCGCAGGCGGGAGAUUAAAUCGGCGGUGAAAUUUUGCAGCUCAACUGUAAAAGUGGCUUCGGAACUUGUUUCCUUGGGUGUAGAUGGAGUAGGCGGGAAUUGUGGGGUAUCGGGGAAAUGCAUAGAUAUCACGAGGAACUCCGAUUGCGCAGGCAGCUUACUAAACUACUACUGACGCUCAGGCACGAAGGCGUGGGGAUCAAACAGGAUUAGAUACCCUGGUAGUCCACGCAGUAAACGAUGAUUACUAGCUGUUUGCGAUACAAUGUAAGCGGCUGAGCGAAAGCGUUAAGUAAUCCACCUGGGGAGUACGUUCGCAAGAAUGAAACUCAAAUGAAUUGACGGGG